rnacentral:lncRNA from 1 species
GGACUCUUAAAAGCAAUCUCUCUUCCCCUGACGCCUUCGAGAGCCAACGAAAAGCACGACCACCGUCAGAAGCGUGAGAUAGUUUCCCCUAUCAGACAGCACUGACCACAGGCCUUCUGCGCUCUCCUGCAACCAAGACGAUAAGGUUCAGCUUUCCACUCAUCUCUGUGUUCAAGGACACGUUGGAUCUGUGUUACUGGUGCACUUAACGUUCCUCCCCCGGACAGUGGCCAGUGCAGCACUCAGCGGGGUGUCAGGACUUCACACAUUUGUAAAGCAGCAAACACGGUGUGAAGGAGGUGACAGUGAGGCAGAUGAGCUAAUGUGAUGUGCUGCCACAGGGACGAGAGCUUCAGGACAUCAGCCCCGCUGCACAGACUGAAUAUAGGCUGCUCUGCCACAUCUGGCCACACCAAACCUACUUAAAUGAGAAGCAAAAGGUCAGUUUAGCACAUUUUGGCCUGUCAGCAACGCCCCGGGUGACCGCUGGCCAUGAUAUUACGAGCAUGCCAAGUCGCCCAGAGGUGUCCAUUCAGGCCAGUGUUCCCUCAGGCUGAGUGGGUCUAAAAGGGUUUCCUCAGAGGUAUGACAUAGUUGAAAUUCAAAGCCAGCCCUCUGGCCAUCUGAACAUGGAAAAACUUGCAGAGCAGCUGAGGCGAUGAUGACGCUUUGUUAUAAAACAUAUUAAGUGUGACAGAGAUGUUUAAAUGCCACUUUCUAGCUAUGUCUACAUCUAAAUUAAAGCCCCCCCUCCUCCUCUCAAAAAUGAGUUUUUCUUUUUGGAUGUUUGAGCUUCACUGUGCAGAAUGAUGCAUGUGCAGAGUUUGAAACCAGAAGGCUGUUUUUCCACAUUUGUCAAGUUACUCUGUGCUCAUAUUAAAAUCUGAGUUUAAAGAAGUGGACGUAUGGGCAGGAUUUUAUGACUCUCAACUAGUUUGGAAGCAAAUUAUGGUUCAAUAUGCAACUCGCACAAGUGUGAUAAGAAAAAAUACCCCAACAUUUGUUCUGGUUGGUCUUAAGUCUUGAAAUCUGGUACUGACAUACUUUGGGCAAG